rnacentral:rRNA from 1 species
UACGAGGGGGGCAAGCGUUGUUCGGAAUUAUUGGGCGUAAAGGGCGCGUAGGCGGUUUGACAAGUCUGAUGUGAAAUCUGUGGGCUCAACCCACAGCCUGCAUUCGAUACUGCCGUGCUUGAGGACUGGAGAGGAGACUGGAAUUUACGGUGUAGCGGUGAAAUGCGUAGAUAUCAGGAGGAACACCGGUGGCGAAGGCGGGUCUCUGGGCCGAUACUGACGCUGAGGAGCGAAAGCGUGGGGAGCGAACAGG